CCUACGGGGGGCAGCAGUGGGGAAUAUUGGACAAUGGGGGCAACCCUGAUCCAGCCAUGCCGCGUGUGUGAAGAAGGCCCUCGGGUGGUAAAGCACUUUCAGUGAGGAAGAACGCCUGGUGGUUAAUACCCAUCAGGAAAGACAUCACUCACAGAAGAAGCACCGGCUAACUCCGUGCCAGCAGCCGCGGUAAUACGGAGGGUGCGAGCGUUAAUCGGAAUUACUGGGCGUAAAGCGCGCGUAGGUGGCUUGAUAAGCCGGUUGUGAAAGCCCCGGGCUCAACCUGGGAACGGCAUCCGGAACUGUCAAGCUAGAGUGCAGGAGAGGAAGGUAGAAUUCCCGGUGUAGCGGUGAAAUGCGUAGAGAUCGGGAGGAAUACCAGUGGCGAAGGCGGCCUUCUGGACUGACACUGACACUGAGGUGCGAAAGCGUGGGUAGCAAACAGGAUUAGAUACCCUAGUAGUC
rnacentral:rRNA from 1 species